GAGCUGGUAGGGGAGGGCAGGACUCUCUAGCACUCAGACUUCAGGGCAAAGAAGCUAGACAAAAGGACAUUUCAGAGCCAGAUAAAACUGUGUGAGCAGCUCUGGGGAAGACCUAAUGUUUCCAGUCCAAGAUCUGAAAUAUAUUUCAGAGAGCAGGUGAUGUGAUUCAGGGGCUGGGGGAAAGGGAGAGGAGGGGCAGUACUUUUACCAACAUAAGUGGCCACUGCAAGAGCUAAGGAGGUAGGAGCUUCCCUACAGUCCCCCCACAUGGUCCCCAAGGCACUUACCCUCACACUGCCUGCCUUCCCCUUGGUAGCCAGGCUUGCAGGAGCACUUGUAGGAGGUGGGUGUGUUCUGACACAGGGCGUCGGCAUGGCAGUCAUCUAGCCCUUGGGCACACUCAUCUACAUCUGCAAAAGAGCACAGCUGACACCUGGUACAGGCUCCCAGGCCAUGUGUGAUCUGGCCUCGGCCCUGUCUGGCAUCAUCCUCACCAGCCCACCCCGCUUCACUCCUCACAAGCUACAGCUGCUUGGGAUCCCUGGGAUAAACCAAACUGUUUCUGGGUCCCUGUUUCCAGGAACAGCCCGGACACUCUACGUGAAAUUACCCCCACCAUCACCUACUGGCCUUCAGGACUUAGCUCAAAUCCACCUCCUCCAGGAAGCCUGCCAUGACCCCCAUUGUAGCUGCCCUCACCAAGUGCUCGCAUAUGUAUGGCUUUGCAUGCACACAUCAGGCAGGGUUGUCACUGUUUUCCUUCCUCUCUCUCCACUAGACAAUGUCUUGACAACAGACUGCGUCUGUGUCCCUUAUGCCAAGCCAGCGCAGUACCUGGCAUGUGAGUAGGCAAUAGUACCUACAUGCCCGCUAAAGGAGGAAAGGACCAAACGGACAGACAAGCUCUGAACACCAAGCAGCUGUCUGUCAGCUUUCUCGGAGCUCAGAGCAAGCUUGUCCAACACAGCCCGUGGGCUACGUGCAGCCCAGGACAGUUUUGAAUGCGGCCCAAUGCAAAUUCAUAAACUUUCUUAAAA
ensembl:lncRNA novel transcript, antisense to SCUBE2